GGGGAUGCAAUGGUUUCGACAGGGAUUCUGAGGCAUGAUAAGCGUGGCGGGCUGGCUAAUCCCGUAUAAUGGCCAAAACUAAAUUUAAACGACAACAAUAGAGUUGCUCUGGCUGCCUAACCUACUGCCCCGAUAAGGGGGAGCCGGUUGGCAGUGCCGCGGCCAUACGCGCCGCCCGUUCCCCUUGGGAAUACUGCGCCCCAAGGCUGAGCGUCAAUUUAGCAGUGAACUUGCAUCGGCCCUUCGCCCUUGAGCCGGUCAAGCACAAAAGGGCUACCAAACCGGGGAGCCUGCCUAUCGGCGCCCUGGUGCGGAAAAUCUAAAUGACAGGCUGCCCACGGAGAAGGUUAUGUCAAGGGGUUUUUGGACACGGGUUCGACUCCCGUCAUCUCCACCA
rnacentral:tmRNA from 1 species